CUUGGUCAUUUAGAGGAAGUAAAAGUCGUAACAAGGUUUCCGUGGAACAAGUCCUUCCGUGGGUAACGCUUGCUGAAGCCUUAGCAGCCUGGAAGGGUGGCCUUCUUUGACGACUAUAAACAACCAGAGGGCCUGAAAUGCUAGUUCACAAAUUGUGGGCAACACUGUCAAAUUGCGGGAAACCCCUAAAGACCUUGACACCAAGCGUCUGCUGGAAACGGCGGCGUGGCCGAGCUAAUUGCCCUGGGUAUGGUAAAAGUUCAAGGUAUGAGCCUGAGUGAUCGGGUGAAAUGGGCAAUCUGCAGCCAAGUCCUAAGGCCUACAGAGGCUAUGGAUGCUGUUCACAGGCCAAAUGGCAGUGGGUGGAGGGCUGAAAAUCCAGCUCCUUGCUUAAGAUAUGGUCGGUCCUCCCGUGAAAGCAGGAGGGUUAAGUUUACCCCAAAAGAGAACGUUCCGUAGGUGAACCUGCGGAAGGAUCAUUA
rnacentral:rRNA from 1 species